CACUCCCAAGGAUGUCUGCAAGGCAGGUGCAAGAUAAUGUGCCAGAAUGUGCAGUAUACAUGCUGCUCUGGCUCUGGUGACCUGGAGGGGUAAGGUAGCACUCAGCGAUGGGGAAAUAUUUAUAUUUAAAUUAGGAUUUAACAUCAGUGAUAAGUUAAAUCUAUAUUAUCUAAAUAUUAAAUCUAUAAUAUUUUAAGGAAAACCUAUUUAUACCCCCUCUGAGGCUCCUGCACAUAAGCAGGACCCCUGGCUUUUAGCUUAAUUGGUUCCUGGAUGAAGGUCAUAUCCCCAGUCAUUGUAAAGCAAAGACUACCAC
rnacentral:lncRNA from 1 species